UACUGCCCAUUUUGAGAUUCUGCCCAUGGCAUAUCGAUUAUGGAGGAUUUCGCCUAGGGGGAACUCAGUGACUACGGAGAUCUUGUGUUCCUAGAAAUAAUGUCACAGUUUCCGCGAGGUGAGUAGUAUGGCGUAAAGUAGCUUUUGGACUGGUGGGUACCGGGUCUUGAAAUCUGAGAGUACUUCACUGAAUAAGUAGACUGGUCUCUAGACCUUGUAUACGUAGCCUGGUACCGACCUUU
rnacentral:lncRNA from 1 species